UGUGAUGGAUUGCUUGUUUUUGUGCCUUGUUUCUAUUCUUGAUCUGUAUCUUGUAGCUCUUAAAAAUAUGGUUGUUUCUUCUACAGGACCUCCAGGCCUAAGAAAGUUGAAGUGCGAAGCCUUGAAGCCAAUUGUGUGAAGCUCUACAUAUCCAAGAAUGCAUAUUAUAUAUUGUAAUAAUAGGCAUAUCUGCUUUGUAACAGAUUGGAAAAAUUGUAAUAUACUACCUUCGUGUUAAUUUGAUGAAUUUCACAUGUUC